GAUCCUGGCUCAGGACGAACGCUGGCGGCGUGCUUAACACAUGCAAGUCGAACGAUGAAGCGGUGCUUGCACCGUGGAUUAGUGGCGAACGGGUGAGUAAUACGUGAGUGACCUACCUUUGACUCUGGGAUAAGCCUGGGAAACUGGGUCUAAUACCGGAUACGACCAAUCUCUGCAUGGGGUGUUGGUGGAAAGCGUUAUGGAGUGGUUUUAGAUGGGCUCACGGCCUAUCAGCUUGUUGG
rnacentral:rRNA from 1 species